UAUUUGUAGCCGCAAUUCAACAUCGAGGUCGCAAACAAUUAUUUUAAUAAGGGCUUAAAUAAUUAUAACGCUGUUAUCCCUAGAGUACCUUAUUCGUCUAAUUUAAUAAAGAUCAUUGUUAAUAUAAAUAGUCCUAUUUAAAUUUACCCCAAAUAAACUUGUGUACAAUUAUUACUUCAUUAAUUAAGUAAAGGUUCAUAGGGUCUUCUCGUC
rnacentral:rRNA from 1 species